UACGUAGGGGGGCAAGCGUUGUCCGGAAUCAUUGGGCGUAAAGAGCGUGUAGGCGGCCCGAUAAGUCCGCCGUGAAAGUCCAGGGCUCAACCCUGGAAUGCCGGUGGAAACUGUCGGGCUGGAGUCCGGAAGAGGCGAGUGGAAUCCUGGUGUAGCGGUGAAAUGCGCAGAUAUCAGGAGGAACACCAAUGGCGAAGGCGGCUCACUGGACUGGUACUGACGCUGAUGCGCGAAAGCGUGGGGAGCAAACAGG
rnacentral:rRNA from 1 species